UCCUAAGUCCAAACACAGAGCCUUCUGACA
rnacentral:piRNA from 1 species